GCGUGACAUCAACGGGAUUCUACAGAUUGUUUUCCUGACUCAAGUGGAGGAAGUUGCUGUGUCUCUUCUAUCAGGAUGUAAUCAUGCAUUUACCUUCGCAUGAGAACUGAUCAGCCAUCAGUCUAAAACCAGAGAAACAGGAACAAAUAGUGUUUUCUCCAAUCUGUGUGCAACGGUGCAUGCAUGGACUAGCAUCUACACUUAUCCAUCUCUGAAGAAUUCGUCAACCUUGAAUUAUGGAAAAUACUCAAUGCUCGUAGCAUUCAUAACAAAGCCGAUGAACUAAUGGCACAGAUAAUAGUGAAUGAUUAUGAUG